GCCGCAUGUUACUCUCUCUGUCGUCGCUCCCUCUUUGUCUCUGCCCUCGCUCUCUCUGUUUCUCUCUCGAUCCCCUUUCCGUCGCCGCUAGUUGCCCUUCGAUUUCGGCGGGUUCCGGUGGUGAGCUAGGGUUUCGGUGAUGUUAGUGGAAAUGACGGACUGCUAGGGUUCAUCCCCUCCACGACAUUGACUACAAGUCGUCGGAAUACUAAUAGGCUGAGGGAUGAGAGGGAUAACCUGAUCGAGGAGAGGGAUAAGCUGAAGAAUGAGAGAAAACUCCUCGGGGCCGAGAGGAAUGAGCUUAAGAUGGAUAUAGCUCAUUUCAAAAAAUAUGGAGAGAAUAAUAGAAACAAGAUUCGCCAGCUGAAGUUAAUCCUUGAUGAUCAAGACCGAGUAGACUAUUCAGUUUGUGAAGUUGAAUAAUGUAGUUCUUUAACUAACAAGUAACUUUUGUGAAGUUUAACUUGCUAAGUUGAUGAGUAUCUAUUGAGUAUCUAUUUUUUUUAUUAGCAAAAAAUCAAUUUGCUGGCGUUGGCCAACAAGGCACGACAGUGAUAAGAUACAUUUGCUGCUGGCAUUGGCCACGUGACAUGCCAUUAGAAUUUCAAAUACUGCUGACUGGUAUCCAAC